AGAAUAUCUGUGCACAUCAGUGGAUUUGCACACGUUGGUGUGGAACUCCAUCUUGCCCACUCCUACAUCUGCCAGAUCCUUUGACAAAUGAAAAAUGGCUACUGGAGACAAGAAGGUAAAUUGUGUCCUAUGGCUAGCAGAACUGAAGUCCAUAUCAGCUGUGAGAAGAAAACGGUGGUUAUGUUGAAGUCUAAAAUUGUGUACUCUAGUUGUCCUAAAACUUGAAUAAAUUUGCUUUUAAAUGCCGUUUA